AGACGUCUACAUUAGAUACCCCCGUAGUCCCAGCCGUAAACUAUGCGCGUUAGGUGUAUCGGUGACCACGAGUCACCGAGGUGCCGAAGGGAAACCGUGAAACGUGCCGCCUGGGAAGUACGGUCGCAAGGCUGAAACUUAAAGGAAUUGGCGGGGAGCACCACAACAGGUGGAGCCUGCGGUUUAAUUGGACUCAACGCCGGGAAGCUCACCGGAUAGGACAGCAGAAUGAUUGCCGGGCUGAAGACUCUGCAUGACUAGCUG
rnacentral:rRNA from 1 species